rnacentral:rRNA from 1 species
AUUGAACGCUGGCGGUAUGCUUAACACAUGCAAGUCGAACGGUAACAGGCCUUCGGGCGCUGACGAGUGGCGGACGGUGAGUAACGCGUAGGAAUCUGCCUCAUAGUGGGGACAACGUGGGGAAACUCACGCUAAUACCGCAUACGCCCUACGGGGAAAGCGGGGAGUCUUCGGACCUCGCGCUAUGAGAUGAGCCUGCGUUAGAUUAGCUAGUUGGUAGGGUAAAGGCCUACCAAGGCGACGAUCUAUAGCUGGUCUGAGAGGACGAUCAGCCACACUGGGACUGAGACACGGCCCAGACUCCUACGGGAGGCAGCAGUGGGGAAUAUUGGACAAUGGGCGCAAGCCUGAUCCAGCAAUACCGCGUGUGUGAAGAAGGCCUUAGGUUGUAAAGCACUUUCAAUUAGGGAGGAAAACCUGCCGGUCAAUACCCGGUAGCUUGACAUUACCUUUAGAAGAAGCACCGGCUAACUCCGUGCCAGCAGCCGCGGUAA